ACAUGAUCGGCGAAGAACCAACUCUCGCGAGAAUAUAGCAAACGGCGCCGAGAUCUCUGCUCUGCCCUGUGGAGUAAGCGGCGUUUAGCUGACGGGGUUGUGGUUGAGGAGCUGAGAAGGUCUGGGAGCCUUUUCAGUUGUGCAUCCACUUACUCUUCCAAAGCAUAUUCAUGCCCUCCCACAAAUCUCUAAGGAAAAAGAUAAUCCAGUUGAAAAGUGGACUGAAGACACUUCACGGAAAAGAAACAUCGAAUUAACAAUGAAAGAGCCUCAAUCUCAUUGAUAAUCAAGGAAAUGCAGUGAGACGCACUUAACAUCUAUGAGACUGGCGAACAUUUUUAAAUCCUCAAGUGUCAGUGCCAGUUAGAACAACUGGAUCUCUCACUCACUGUUGUGGAGUGUAAACUAGUACAACCACUCUGGAAAACAAUUUCGUAUUAUCCAGUAGAAGCGAAGCUACCCAUAUCCUUUGACCCAGCAAUUCCACGGCUAUAUAUGCUUAAAAGAAAUUCUUCCAUAUGUCCCUGUAAUGACAGUGUUAAACUUCACCCAGCCCUGUGAUCCUGGAAAAGAGCGAAGGAUAAGAAACCCCAUCCCACCCUCUUGUGUUCUGGAACACAGCUUACUGCAAAGAAACACGCUUCCUUAUAUGACUUAGAUAAAACUCAUGGGUGCCCCCUUGUUUACCUAUGUCAAGGCUAGCAACAGGCUCCAAAUUCCAAUCUUUGCCUUGUAAGCGCUUAGAUGAACUGCUUGUCCUCACUGAUCAAUCAGAGCAAAAUGCUUGUUAACCAAACUUUGGUUAAGCUUCUCUCCUUCCCCCAAGUCCCUGAACUUUGCCUCCCCCCACCCACCCCCCAAGUUUGAGCCAGCACACAACACCUCCUGAGAAUAGGCUGGCUUCAGGGUAAAACAUUUUCUGAUCUACUGUCCCAUCAUGCCACUCCUGGUCAUUCCACUCAGUUCUUUCUAGCCUUGUUUACUCUUCCCUGUGAAUGAUGGACUCCUUUUGCCUAACCCUUGAAGGUUCGGGUAGAUCUCAUGGUCCCAUUGCAAUAGCUUCUUUCUCCCUUGGAAUAGUUCCUUUCCUCUCUUGCAAUAAUCAUUUAAAAUGAAGUCUCUCUUUACUGAGUCCAGAUUUGUUUUUUAUUUGACAAUAUACAUGAAUAUUCAUAGCUGCAGUGUUUGCAAGAGCAAAAAAUUGGCAUUUAAUACUAUUAAGCAGGUAUAUGAUGUUGAGCGGAAAUAAGUCAGAAAACAAUGAUUUAUAUAAAAAGUUCAAAAAUACAAACAAAAAUAUUUCUUAGGGAUACAUAAGUAAGUAUGCAUUGAAAUCAUAAAGAAAAGUAAGGAAAUGUUUAACCCCAGAUUCAGGGUUUGAGGGGAGGUGAUAGAUUGAGAAAGGGAUUUCUAAGUUGAUGGGAUGUGGUGAGGGUUCAUUGUACUGUUCUUUACACUUUAAUGUAAAUAAAUGUUAUUUUGUCUUACUCAAUUUUAAUGAAACAUCUUAAAAAGGAAAAUAACUCAUUUCAAAAAGCAAUGAAGCAAGUGUUUACUUGGCGUUGAUCACUUAUAUACACCUAUUUGAGAAAGAAAAAAUAAAAACAGUUCUGAUGAAAGUCUGGGUAUUUGCAGAUAGGAUCGUUAUACAUACCUGGAUUUUAAAAUCUGCUGAUGGAAGUGAAAAUUGGUACAACCACUUUGGAAAAUUUGGCAAGAUCUACUUAAGUUGAGCAUACCUUCUAUGACUUGGUAAUUUCCGUUCUUGUUAUAUAACAAUGUAUCUGCAAACAUCUGUGCACCAAAAGGUGUUCAGGAAUAAUCCUAGCAAUGUUAUUUGAUGAACCAAAUGGUCAUCAUCAGUGUAAUGGGAUGCUUUACAACAAUGAAAAUGAAUGGGUCAGAAUGAAUCUGACAUAACAUUAAGUGAAAGACAAACACAAAAGAAUACAUGCUGUAUGAUUCCAUUUAUAUAAAGUUUAAGACAAAUAGUCUCACUUAUGUUGGAAAUCAGGGAUAGUGAAGCCAUUUAAGGAGGAAAGAGAGUGUGGUGAUGGGGAGGGUUUCUGGGAUAUUGUUAAAGCUCUAUUUCUUGAGCUGGGUGGUGGUUACAGUGAGGUGUUCAUUUUGUGAUAACUCAUCAAACUGUGCAUGUAUGAUUUGUGUACUUUUCUGUACAUUAUACAGAAAAGAUUGAAUUAAAACUCUAUUUUGAAAAAUCUGAAAAUAGGAAAAUAAGUGCUUUACAGCACACAAGAUGUGUGCUCUGGAAAAGCUGUUAGCUGACCCAAGAAGUUAUGCACUUAGGGUUCCAUGCAAUUGCCAUUUGUGGGCCUAAGUUUCCAGAACCCUGCAUGAUGCUUGAUAUGUAGUAGAUAGACUCAGUAAACCGCCACUGAUUGAAUGACUAUUCCUGGCACUAAUGUGGGGAUGUGCCAUUGGGUAUGGUUGGGGACUGUCUUCAGGGAAAGUAGGGCCACUUCCCUGGGGGAACACACAGGUCAGAUUUCUCAUCAAAAACUUAAAAGUAACCAAGACUACAUUUUCCCUCUCGUUCCACCUUGUAGUGUGGAGGGGAAGGGAAGGGGUCCAGAUACUGUUGCGUAUUCUCCAGCUGAUCGUCCCCGGCCUUUACAGACACAAGACAGCAUAGUGCUGAAGAGCGUAGGCCCUAAAUUUAGACCACCUGAGUUCAAACACUGAUUCUACUACUUAUUGACUAGUCGUGUGACUUUGAGGGAGUCACUUAACCUCUCUGUGCCUCAGUUUCCUCAUUUAUAAAAUGGAGGUAAGGAUGGUAAUUCCAGUACAGUUAUUGUGAGAAUUAAAUAACGGAAGUAACGUAACAUGCUUAGAGCACAGCUCUCAAUAAAUGUUAGCUGGCUAUUGUGUAGUAGCCACCCGGAAUGACCCAGCAGGAGUGAGUGAUUCCCCUUGUUAACCUUGAUUUCCCUGAGACCUUAGCCUUGUUGCCUCCAGUGGUUUCACUGGGAUUGCCUUUCUCUGCUGCCUUGUUCUGGGACAUGGCCCCUGUCCACCUUCCCAGGCCAUCUUUUGCUGCCCUGGGCCCAAGUUGCCCCAGAGCAUUUGCAGUAGGCUGAACACCCUUGCUCUCGCACUUCGGUGUUUUUGCACCUCCCAUUCCCUCUAUCUGCAAUGCCCAUCCCUUGGUUGCCUGGCAAACCCCUAUUCAUUCCCUUUAGCUCAGAGCAGUCACACGGGGCUGAAGCAUUCUUCCCACCUCCAGACAGAUUUAAUCACUCCCUCUUCUGAGCUCCUGCUGCUCUCCGAACAUCCCUCUAUCACAGUUCAGAUCGCUCUGGGCUGCAGUUACUUCUGUGUCUCUCUCUGCCACAGGAUGUUCAGUGAAGGCAGGAGCUAUACUUUAUGAAUUUCGUGUCCCUUAGCAUCUAGCACAGGGUCUGGUACAAGUGGUCAUCAAGAGAUGUUGAAUGAUGGCACGAAUGGGUGGAUGGAUGGUGGGUGUUGGCUUUUUGCUUGCAUCAUAGGUUCUAGGAUACCCAAAGGCAGGGUGUGUCGGCCAAGGCACAGUGCCUGACUGCUUAUUAAGCAGUCAAUGAUUCGGCUAAUGAAGGUAGAGAUAAUGGUGAUAAUAAAAUGAUACCCAAGGCUGAGCCCUCUCCUGAUUCCUAGUGAGUCAUCCCUGGCUGGGCCUGAGGACAGGGAUCGUGGCUGAGAGGGUAGAUGGUCAGUAAACAGUGGCUGAGCUGGCUCCAGACAGCCUGAUCCUGGCCAUGACUCAUGCCAGCCUGUGCUGGGGAGCCUGGCCUCCACAGUCACACAGGCCUGAGUUCAAAUCUUAGCACAGAUAGUGAUCAGUCCAGACAUUGAGUAAGUUGCAUACCCUGUCUGAGCCUGUUUCCUCCUCUACCCUCUCUGGUUGAUGAGGCACAAUUCCCACUUCUAAGCUGCUGAUAAUGGAGACACAGUCCCCCACCCUUGUCUCAUAGAGAAAGCAUUAGUUGCUCUUACUGUAUUAUAAUUCUCUCUUUGGUUUGGCUAGAUUGGUCUUGAUCUUCCUUGCAGAAGGUUUGGAUAGGGCACAGGGAAUGACAGGAGAUACAGAUGAAAAACAGAAGUGGAGCUCCCCAACCAUGUGGAGGGGACAGGGAAGAAGUUUGCAAAGAAGCAAAGUAGUGCUAAUCAGGGAAGCUAUUUGGAUGAUGGAUAAGUUGACGGGAAAGGCUGGGUGGGUAGUGGAGAGGAGGACUUUCUAGUGCCCGUUCAAGGUUGGAGGAGGGAAGGGGUGAGGGGCAGGAGGAUUCAGCCUGCAGGUCCAGAGGGGUGCAACAGUAAACUAACGGGGGCACUUAGUGACGGAACAUAAAAGAUAGAAUGACCUGAGAUCCCCGAAUCCUCUGGAUUUGGCUCCUCUGGAGAGACAAGGCAUCUGCUUUUGGAAGAGUUCCCUCCUGCAUCUGCAUGGUGAGAUGGGGGAUGUGUGUCCACGUUCUGGGAAGGGCAGGCAGGGAGAGGUGCCUGGGGUCCUGAGCUCUGAGUCUGGGAGUUCUGGUGGAGGAUUGCAAGGCCUGCUCUGUGCUCUAAAGGAUGCUUCUAUUUGGGAAUUUGAUUAGGUCCUGGCUUGGGGAGCUGUUGAGUAGCUUGGGGGCCUGUCUGAGAGAAGGGUAGACGUUGGGGUCACCAUGGGGAAAGAGGGUGAUGGGUUAGCUGAGGCCCCAAAUGCCAAACAGAACAGUUAGCCUGGAUUAGCAGGCUCCAGGUAGACCGACAGAUGUGCAGACAUAGGUCUGCACUUUGGGGCCACUUUUCCCUCUCUUGCGACAUACAGAGAAAGGAGAACAUGCCCCAGUGUGAGGGUGUCUCUGUAUUGUGUGCCCCACCCUUGGGCAUAGGGAUGGACGUGUGAACAUCUGGCUCUGGUGCAUGUGUCUACUGUCAAGUGUUUGGGUCUGCUGUGUGUCACCGAGUGAAUUUAUCUUGACUGUGCGUUUCCAUGCUGGGUGUGGGUGGAUGGUGGGUCUGUUUUAUAGGUCUGUGUAGGUGUGUCUGACUUGUAUGUCUUAGCACGUAGGCGUGUGUGUGUGUGUGUGUAAGAGAGAGAGUUGUAGUUCUGAGUUGUGUCUCUGUUGUGGGGUGUGAGCUGUGUGUUUCUGUCACUCUGGGUGUCUGAAUAGUGAGUGGGUGGUUGGGUAAGGGACAGGGGUGCCCUUGCUGCUGGCACUGGGUGCCCAUAGUGGGUAUAUGGCUAGUUCAACUCUGGUCCUAUCCUGGGGGCCUUCAGGAGAGGCCUGAAUGACAAUUCUUUGACUGUUGUCCCUGAGUGAAUGACCUCUCAUUAAGCAAUAAUUAACUUGGCCCCAUGAAGAGAAUCCAAACUGGUGGAAAGGGGGGUGGGACUGGUAAGGGCAGGGCCUUAUCGCUAAAGAAAGGGGGAGGCCUGCAAGGGGGUCCUAUAGGCAUGUGUGCUGUUAUCAUUCCCUCCUGCCUGCAGGUCAGUCACCCUAACUUGGGUGGUAUUCAAAAUCUUUAACCAACAGUGAGGCACAGACAUUGACCAAUCGUAGCAGACACAAGCCACGCACUGAAUGGAGCAGUCCUAGAGGCUGAGGCUAUGCCAGGCUCAGCCUCUCUCUUUGCUGGCCAAGGAUAAUGGAUUCCAAGAGAAGGGCUGGGACAGAAGGGCCGUGGAAGGGAAUUCAGGAGGGGCUCAGGGCUGUAGCUGUGAAUCAACUUCCACGGAAGAAUCUCAGACUUCAACAGCUGGGGUGGCAGCUAAAUCUCAGCCGGCCUUGGCCUCCACGCAGCUGCGCCAGGCCAGCCCUAGGUGCCCUCGCUCCUCCCAUUGGGACAGCAGUGGACUGUCCUCUUCUGUCACCUGCAGGAAUGGGGAAGUGAAUGAUCCCAAACUGCAGAAAUUCCAGUGACCUUGCCUGUUUCAGUUUGGGAAUGGGCUGCUUCAUAUUCCUUACUGGCUGUGAUCUGACUCUCGUUGAGGCUGUGUGACCUUCAGCAAAUCACUUAACAUCUCUGAGCCUCUUUUGUGAGGUGACUUUCAGUGAUAAUGAGGACCCAAAGAGAUAAUGGGUGUCAAGCCCUUAGAAGGUGCCAGGAGUGUCUGGAAGCUCACCAGGAUUGAAGAUGAUGGU